rnacentral:rRNA from 1 species
AUUGAACGCUGGCGGCAGGCCUAACACAUGCAAGUCGAGCGCGAAAGCACUUCGGUGUGAGUAGAGCGGCGGACGGGUGAGUAACGCGUAAGAAUCUACCUAGUAGUGGGGGACAACUCGAGGAAACUCGAGCUAAUACCGCAUACGCCCUACGGGGGAAAGCGGGGGACCUUCGGGCCUCGCGCUAUUAGAUGAGCUUGCGUUGGAUUAGCUUGUUGGUGAGGUAAUGGCUCACCAAGGCUACGAUCCAUAGCUGGUCUGAGAGGAUGAUCAGCCACACCGGGACUGAGACACGGCCCGGACUCCUACGGGAGGCAGCAGUGGGGAAUAUUGCGCAAUGGGCGAAAGCCUGACGCAGCCAUGCCGCGUGUGUGAAGAAGGCCUUAGGGUUGUAAAGCACUUUCAAUUGGGAGGAAAAGUUAACGACUAAUACUCGUUAGCCUUGACGUUACCUUUAGAAGAAGCACCGGCUAACUCCGUGCCAGCAGCCGCGGUAAUACGGAGGGUGCAAGCGUUAAUCGGAAUUACUGGGCGUAAAGCGCGCGUAGGCGGCUUUUUAAGUCGGAUGUGAAAGCCCCGGGCUCAACCUGGGAACUGCAUCCGAUACUGGAAGACUAGAGUGCGAGAGAGGGAGGUAGAAUUCCAUGUGUAGCGGUGAAAUGCGUAGAUAUAUGGAGGAAUACCAGUGGCGAAGGCGGCCUCCUGGCUCGACACUGA